rnacentral:rRNA from 1 species
CAGUCGCCGCGGUAAUACGAAGGGGGCUAGCGUUGUUCGGAUUUACUGGGCGUAAAGGGCGCGUAGGCGGGCUGAUAAGUCAGGGGUGAAAUCCCAAGGCUCAACCUUGGAACUGCCUUUGAUACUGUUUGUCUUGAGUUCGAGAGAGGUAAGUGGAACUGCGAGUGUAGAGGUGAAAUUCGUAGAUAUUCGCAAGAACACCAGUGGCGAAGGCGGCUUACUGGCUCGAAACUGACGCUGAGGCGCGAAAGCGUGGGGAGCAAACAGGAUUAGAUACCCCUGUAGUCCCUGUCUCUUAUAC